GCCCCAGCCAAUACCUUUAAUCCGUGCAAAACCCCAGUCAGCAUACACUGCAAUGAGGGUUGCAACAAGCUGAGCGAUCAUGAAGGCACCCAAUAACAGGAGCCCCGGGCGCUCUACGAAACACCAACUGCGUGACCGGGUGACAAAUAUGAGGGCCUGGCUCACAAUACUGACUUGUAGGUAUAGAGCCGCCAUCAUUUCAUCAUCUCUCUUUCUCAAAGAUCUUACGUGGAAGUGAUCGCUGAAGAAGUCGGUCUCUUUCAU
rnacentral:misc_RNA from 1 species